rnacentral:tRNA from 1 species
ACAUUGGUGGUUCAGUGAUGGAAUUCUCUCCUCUCACGUGGGAGACCAGGGUUCAAUUCCUGGCCAGUGUA